rnacentral:rRNA from 1 species
AGUGAACGCUGGCGGUAGGCCUAACACAUGCAAGUCGAACGGCAGCACAGUAAGAGCUUGCUCUUACGGGUGGCGAGUGGCGGACGGGUGAGGAAUACAUCGGAAUCUACUUUUUCGUGGGGGAUAACGUAGGGAAACUUACGCUAAUACCGCAUACGACGUACGGGUGAAAGCAGGGGAUCUUCGGACCUUGCGCGAUUGAAUGAGCCGAUGUCGGAUUAGCUAGUUGGCGGGGUAAAGGCCCACCAAGGCGACGAUCCGUAGCUGGUCUGAGAGGAGGAUCAGACACACUGGAACUGAGAGACGGUGCAGACGCCUACGGGAGGCAGCAGUGGGGAAGAUUGGAGAAGGGGGGAAGGCCGGAUCCAGCAAUGCCGCGGGGGUGAAGAAGGGCGUCGGAGUGUAAAGCACUUUAAGGGGGGAGGAAGAGCAGCAAGUUAAUACCGGGGUGGUUGGACGGUACCAACAGAAUAAGCACCGGCUAACUACGUG